GAUGAACGCUGGCGGCGUGCCUAAUACAUGCAAGUCGAGCGAACGGACGAGAAGCUUGCUUCUUUGAUGUUAGCGGCGGACGGGUGAGUAACACGUGUAUAACCUACCUAUAAGACUGGGAUAACUUCGGGAAACCGGCGCUUAUACCGGAUGAUAUUUUGAACCGCAUGGUUCAAAAGUGAAAGACGGUCUUGCUGUCACUUAUAGAUGGAUCCGCGCUGCAUUAGCUAGUUGGUAAGGUAACGGCUUAUCAAGGCAACGAUGCAUAGCCGACGUGAGAGGGUGAUCGGCCACACUGGAACUGAGACACGGUCCAGACUCCUGCGAGAGGCAGCAGUAGGGAAUCUUCCGCAAUGGGCGGAAGCAUGACGGAACGGCGCCGCGUGAGUGAUGAAGGUGUUCGGAUCGUAAAACUCUGUUAUUAGGGAAGAACAUAUGUGUAAGUAGAUGUGCACAUCGUGACGGUACCUGGUCAGAAAGCAACGGCUAACUACGUG
rnacentral:rRNA from 1 species